rnacentral:rRNA from 1 species
UGGGGAAUAUUGCGCAAUGGGCGAAAGCCUGACGCAGCCACGCCGCGUGAGUGAUGAAGGCCUUCGGGUUGUAAAGCUCUGUCGGGAGGGACGAAGGGGAAACCCUGACGGUACCUCGCAAGAAAGCACCGGCUAACUCUGUGCCAGCAGCCGCGGUAAUACAGAGGGUGCAAGCGUUGCUCGGAUUUACUGGGCGUAAAGCGUACGCAGACGGUGAGAAAGGUCGGAUGUGAAAGCCCCGGGCUCAACCCGGGAACUGCAUCCGAAACCAUCUCGCUCGAGUGUGGGAGAGGGAAGCGGAAUUCCUGGUGUAGAGGUGAAAUUCGUAGAUAUCAGGAGGAACAUCUGCGGCGAAGGCGGCUUCCUGGCCCAUUACUGACGUUCAGGUACGAAAGCGUGG